AACGAACGUUAGCGGCGCGCCUAACACAUGCAAGUCGCACGAGAAAGGGCUUCGGCCCCGGUAAAGUGGCGCACGGGUGAGUAACACGUGGGUAAUCUGCCCUCGAGCAGGGGAUAACAUUCCGAAAGGAGUGCUAAUACCGUAUAAGACCACGAUCUCGAAAGAGAUUGAGGUAAAAGCUGGCCUCUAUACAUAAGCUAGCACUUGAGGAUGAGCCCGCGGCGCAUCAGGUAGUUGGUGAGGUAAUGGCUCACCAAGCCUAAGACGCGU
rnacentral:rRNA from 1 species